rnacentral:lncRNA from 1 species
CAAAAAGAGAAGGAAUAUGAAGAUCAGAUCCACUAUCAACCAGAUAGAAUAUAGAGAAAUAUGCAAAAAUAGUAUGAAAAAGAAUUAGAGAAGAUAUACAAAGAUUCAACAUAGAAACAAUUAAAAUAGCCUUUGAGAACAGCAAUAUCUUUCGAUCAACAUGGAGAGACAUAAUGACUGGCAGGUACCAACUAAAUGACAUCAAAGAUGAUAUUGGAGAACUUAUCACCAAAACAAAACAAUAUAGUACAGUGUAUAGUAUAGUUAACAAUAUAGUAGAAAAGGCAGCAAUGUUCUUUGAGGAACUAUACAGACCAAGAGACCAACUGGCAACAAGAUCAGCAAAUAUAGAAGAUAUCUCAGUAAUACUAUUGCAAGAAGU